GUGGUUGUUAUCUCUUUGGCGAUUCACUCAAUUUGAAGUGCUUCUUAGUCCAAUAUCUCUUAAGGUGGUUGGCCCCUUGCUUCUUAACUCAAAUUCUUCAAGGGAUGGCACCAAUCCUCCUUUCCAAUUCCCUAUAUGGCAACUCACAAACAAGGAAACAAAGAGACAAGCAAUAACCAAAGACAAAAAAAAUGAAAUGAAAGCU
rnacentral:lncRNA from 1 species